UGGAGGGCAAGUCUGGUGCCAGCAGCCGCGGUAAUUCCAGCCCCAAUAGCGUAUAUUAAAGUUGUUGCAGUUAAAAAGCUCGUAGUUGAAUUUCGGGGUCAGUAGGUUGGUCGUGCCACUGGUAUGCACUGGCCUUACUGAUUCCUCCUUCUUGAAGAACUGUGAUGUCAUUUACUUGGUGUUGCAGGGAAACAGGGCUGUUACUUUGAAAAAAUUAGAGUGUUUAAAGCAGGC
rnacentral:rRNA from 1 species